rnacentral:rRNA from 1 species
AGGACGAACGCUGGCGGCGUGCUUAACACAUGCAAGUCGAGCGGUAAGGCUCCUUCGGGAGUACACGAGCGGCGAACGGGUGAGUAACACGUGAGUAAUCUGCCCUUCACUUCGGGAUAACCACCGGAAACGGUGGCUAAUACCGAAUACGACCAGCCUUCGCAUGAGGUGCUGGUGGAAAGUCUUUUCGGUGAAGGAUGUGCUCGCGGCCUAUCAGCUUGUUGGUGGGGUAAUGGCCUACCAAGGCUUCGACGGGUA